AGUGAACGCUGGCGGUAGGCCUAACACAUGCAAGUCGAACGGCAGCACAGUAAGAGCUUGCUCUUACGGGUGGCGAGUGGCGGACGGGUGAGGAAUACAUCGGAAUCUACUUUUUCGUGGGGGAUAACGUAGGGAAACUUACGCUAAUACCGCAUACGACCUACGGGUGAAAGCAGGGGAUCUUCGGACCUUGCGCGAUUGAAUGAGCCGAUGUCGGAUUAGCUAGUUGGCGGGGUAAAGGCCCACCAAGGCGACGAUCCGUAGCUGGUCUGAGAGGAUGAUCAGCCACACUGGAACUGAGGCACGGCCCAGACUCCUACGGGAGGAAGCAGUGGGGAAUAUUGGACAAUGGGGGAAAGCCUGAUCCAGCCAUACCGCGUGGGUGAAGAAGGCCUUCGGGUUGUAAAGCCCUUUUGUUGGGAAAGAAAAGCAGCAGGUUAAUACCCCGCUGUUCUGACGGUACCCAAAGAAUAAGCACCGGCUAACUUCGUG
rnacentral:rRNA from 1 species